GGUCCUACGGGGGGCAGCAGUGGGGAAUAUUGCACAAUGGGGGAAACCCUGAUGCAGCGACGCCGCGUGAGUGAAGAAGUAUUUCGGUAUGUAAAGCUCUAUCAGCAAGGAAGAUAAUGACGGUACCUGAGUAAGAAGCCCCGGCUAACUACGUGCCAGCAGCCGCGGUAAUACGUAGGGGGCAAGCGUUAUCCGGAUUUACUGGGUGUAAAGGGAGCGUAGGUGGCAAGGCAAGUCAGAUGUGAAAACCCGGGGCCCAACCCCGGGAGUGCAUUUGAAACUGUCUGGCUAGAGUGCAGGAGAGG
rnacentral:rRNA from 1 species